GUGGUGCAACUGCUUAGCACAUGCUCCCGGAAAGAGUAAGAUGUGGGUUCGAUUCCCGCAAACG